ACGAACGCUGGCGGCGCGCUUAACACAUGCCAGUCGAACGGAAAGGCCUGCUUUCCCUUGUGGAUUGCGGGUACUCGAGUGGCGAACGGGUGAGUAACACGUGAGUGAUCUGCCCCCAACUUGGGUAUAAGCCUGGGAAACUGGGUCUAAUUCCCGAUAGGACUGCAGGGUGGUGCCUGUGGUGGAAAACGAUUUUCUAGUGGUUGGGGAUGAGCUCGCGGCCUAUCAGCUUGUUGGUGGGGUAAUGGCCUACCAAGGCGGCGACGGGUAGCCGGCCUGAGAGGGUGGACGGCGACAUUGGGACUGAGAUACGGCCCAGACGCCUACGGGAGGCAGCAGUGGGGAAUAUUGCACAAUGGGCGGAAGCCUGAUGCAGCGACGCCGCGUGGGGGAUGACGGCCUUCGGGUUGUAAACUCCUUUCGACCGCGAGGAAGCCACCUGGUUGGAAGGGUGGUGACGGUAGUGGUAGAAGAAGCACCGGCUAACUACGUG
rnacentral:rRNA from 1 species